rnacentral:rRNA from 1 species
GUUAAGUUUGAUUCUUGCUUGUAAUGUUUGCUUUUUAGUUAAUAGCAUAUGAAAAUUUUAAUGAUCUAGGCUUAUUAAAGAUUAAAUCUUGGAAGUUGGGUUUUUCUCAGUGUAUAAUAUUUUGUACUUAUUAAGGUAAGACAGAGUAAAUUAAGAAACAUCUGUCCAAAAUUUGUGCCAGCAGACGCGGUUAUACUUAGAGGUGAAGUAAAAUAGGUUUUGGUGUUUAGUUUUGGGUUAAGUAGUUAAUUAGGUUAUUUUUUUAAAGAGUGAAAUCAGAAUAUAAACAAUAAUUUAAUUAAAUUUGUGUAUAAUAGGCUAAAAAGUUCAAGGGAUAAACUAGGAUUAGAUACCC